rnacentral:misc_RNA from 1 species
GAUGAAGAACGCAGCGAAAUGCGAUACUUGGUGUGAAUUGCAGAAUCCCGUGAACCAUCGAGUCUUUGAACGCAAGUUGCGCCCGAAGCCUCGGCUAAGGGCACGUCUGCCUGGGCGUCACGCAUCGCGUCUCCCCCAAACCGCCAAGGCGUAGGGGAAGGAAGAUGGCUUCCCGUGCCUCACCCGGGCGCGGUUGGCCUAAAUUUGGAGCCCGCGGCACUUAGCUCUCGCGGCGAUAGGUGGUGAACAAGGCCUUGGCCGUGCAAACAACCCGCUGCGAAGCUCUAUGUCACGUGCGCUCGUCGGACCCUUUGAAGUUGCCUUUGGUGACUUAAAACCUUUGCGACCCCAGGUCAGGCGGGGCUACCCGCUGAAUUUAAGCAUAUCAAUAAGCGGAGGA